rnacentral:lncRNA from 1 species
CAAUAUAUACGAGUGGUGUUGCGGGGUAAUUGCAUCAAGUUUUUCAUAUGCUAGACACAACCUAAUGAUAUGAGACCCAAAGGGACAAAUUAAAGUAAAAAAGGGAAAAUAACAAUGAGUAGCACGAAACCUAUGAAAGUCUAAUUGAAGGUUGAAGUCAACUUUCGACUUGGACUUCAGCAUGCAUCAGCCAUGAAGCAUGCCUAAUUUUGACCGUCCAUGUCAACGUAGGCUACUUUGACUGGUAAAUGUGCAUCUCAAUCCAAUGCAUUUCGCUAAACAAAUGCGCA